rnacentral:misc_RNA from 1 species
GCGAAAUCCAAAUUGGUCGGUGUCCCGGUACCGAAAGGGUCGGGCCCUUCCAUCAUCUCAUACACCUUUGUCGAACUGUAGGGGGAUCGGUGAAAGCCUUUCCCCCGCUUUUUCAUACACUUGAAGUCUGAGAAUGAAGUCUUGGUGAAAACCAAAAAUA